AGGAAAUUUCUGGAAUGGGAGGCUUGGCAAGAAGCGAUCUAUUUUUCUUGUUCAAUAAAAAAGAAAAAGAAAAUUUUUCUUGCCCACCCCUCCCAUUCCUUGGAUUUCC
rnacentral:pre_miRNA from 1 species